UGCGGGAGACUACACUUCACGGGAGCACUGUGGGACUGCCGAGAGAGGGCUCAAAGACAAACGCCUGCCUUAAACACUGAGACAGAGGUUUGACCCCUCCACACUUAGACUCUGAUUGGCUGGAACUGACACAAAUGUAACGGCCUGCACGAGACCUUCUGCUCAGCCAGGUGCGGUCACGUGUGGUCAGUACAACCCAGACUGUAGCCGUCUCAUGGACGAAAAGAUGGAUGUCUCAAGGAAGAACACACAGCUAAUUCAUGACAGAAUGAGACUUAAGAAAAUAUGAUACAAUUGAUGACAUUUGGACAGCCACCUUCAACCAAACAACAGUUACUAUGCAG
ensembl:lncRNA